rnacentral:rRNA from 1 species
UUUCGCAAUGCCCGAAAGGGUGACGAAGCGACGCCGCGUGGGUGAGGAAGGCCCUCGGGUUGUAAAGCCCUGUCAGGAGUUAAGAAAUGUAGACUCGCUAAUAUCGGGUCUAUUUGACAAAGGCUCCAAAGGAAGCCACGGCUAACUCUGUGCCAGCAGCCGCGGUAAUACAGAGGUGGCAAGCGUUGUUCGGAAUUAUUGGGCGUAAAGAGCACGUAGGUGGAUUUGUAAGUCAGAUGUGAAAGCCUUCUGUUCAACGGGAGAAUUGCAUCUGAAACUACAGACCUUGAGUAUAGGAGGGGAGAAUGGAACUUCUGGUGGAGCGGUGAAAUGCGUAGAUAUCAGAAGGAACGCCGGCGGCGAAAGCGAUUCUCUGGCCUAUUACUGACACUCAGUGUGCGAAAGCUAGGGGAGCAAACGGGAUUAGAUACCCCGGUAGUCCUAGCCGUAAACGAUGGGCACUAAGUAGAGGGGUUUUA